rnacentral:rRNA from 1 species
AUUGAACGCUGGCGGCAGGCCUAACACAUGCAAGUCGAACGAGUGGCGGACGGGUGAGUAAUGUCUGGGAAACUUCCCGAUGGAGGGGGAUAACUACUGGAAACGGUAGCUAAUACCGCAUACCAUCGGCAGUGCCCAGCUGGGAUUAGCUAGUAGGUGGUGUAACGGCGCACCAUGGAGACGAUCCCUAGCUGGUCUGAGAGGAUGACCAGCCAAACUGGAACUGAGACACGGCCCAGACUCCGACGGUAGGCAGCAGUGGGGAAUAUUGCACAAUGGGCGCAAGCCUGAUGAAGCCAUGCCGCGUGUAGGAAGAAGGCCUUCGGGUUGUAAAGUACUUUCAGCGAGGAGGCGUUACUCGCAGAAGAAGCACCGGCUAACUCCGUGCCAGCCGCCGCGGUAAUUC